GAUGAACGCUGGCGGCGUGCCUAAUACAUGCCAGUCGAGCGAACAGACGAGGAGCUUGCUCCUCUGACGUUAGCGGCGGACGGGUGAGUAACACGUGGAUAACCUACCUAUAAGACUGGGAUAACUUCGGGAAACCGGAGCUAAUACCGGAUAAUAUAUUGAACCGCAUGGUUCAAUAGUGAAAGACGGUUUUGCUGUCACUUAUAGAUGGAUCCGCGCCGCAUUAGCUAGUUGGUAAGGUAACGGCUUACCAAGGCAACGAUGCGUAGCCGACCUGAGAGGGUGAUCGGCCACACUGGAACUGAGACGCGGUCCAGGCUCCUACGGGAGGCAGCAGUAGGGAAUCUUACGCAAUGGGCGAAAGCCUGACGGAGCAACGCCGCGUGAGUGAUGAAGGUCUUCGGAUCGUAAAACUCUGUUAUUAGGGAAGAACAAAUGUGUAAGUAACUAUGCACGUCUUGACGGUACCUAAUCAGAAAGCCACGGCUAACUACGUG
rnacentral:rRNA from 1 species